GGCGGCAUGCCUAACACAUGCAAGUCGAACGAGAGCUUUCGGGCUCUAGUGGCGCACGGGUGCGUAACGCGUGGGAAUCUACCCAAAGCUACGGAAUAACUCGGGGAAACUCGUGCUAAUACCGUAUGAUGUCGAGAGACCAAAGAUUUAUCGGCUUUGGAUGAGCCCGCGUAGGAUUAGCUUGUUGGUGGGGUAAAGGCCUACCAAGGCGACGAUCCUUAGCUGGUCUGAGAGGAUGAUCAGCCACACUGGGACUGAGACACGGCCCAGACUCCUACGGGAGGCAGCAGUGGGGAAUAUUGGACAAUGGGCGCAAGCCUGAUCCAGCAAUGCCGCGUGAGUGAUGAAGGCCUUAGGGUUGUAAAGCUCUUUUACCCGGGAAGAUAAUGACUGUACCGGGAGAAUAAGCCCCGGCUAACUCCGUGCCAGCAGCCGCGGUAAUACGGAGGGGGCUAGCGUUGUUCGGAAUUACUGGGCGUAAAGCGCACGUAGGCGGCUUUACAAGUCAGA
rnacentral:rRNA from 1 species